rnacentral:rRNA from 1 species
GUAGGUGGCAAGCGUUGUCCGGAAUUAUUGGGCGUAGAGCGCGCGCAGGCGGUCCUUUAAGUCUGAUGUGAAAGCCCACGGCUCAACCGUGGAGGGUCAUUGGAAACUGGGGGACUUGAGUACAGAAGAGGAAAGCGGAAUUCCAAGUGUAGCGGUGAAAUGCGUAGAGAUUUGGAGGAACACCAGUGGCGAAGGCGGCUUUCUGGUCUGUAACUGACGCUGAGGCGCGAAAGCGUGGGGAGCAAACAGGGAUUAGAUACCCUGGUAGUCCACGCCGUAAACGAUGAGUGCUAAGUGUUAGGGGGUUUCCCGCCCCUUAGUGCUGCAGCUAACGCAUUAAGCACUCCGCCUGGGGAGUACGGCCGCAAGGCUG